rnacentral:lncRNA from 1 species
UACAAAAAAAAAAAAAAAAAAAAAACCAAAAAAAACUACGGCUGGAUGCAGAAUGAGGGGGUUUUUAGACAAAAGCUACUCCUGGAAAUGACUCUGUGAGAUCUGGAAUCUUAAUAACACAGGGGUAACUAAAAUGAAUGCAGCACCACUUUAGAAGCUCCAGAGUUUGUAUCUGUGAGAGUAUCAAGAAGCAGCAUCUCUUAUGUGGAGUGAAAUACAGAGGGCAUGUAUUACACAGGUGACUUGUGUCACUACAGGAGAAGACCAGAGCAAAGAGCCUGUGGAGUCUGUGGUCACUGGUAAAACAGUCCCAGGAUGACCAGAAAUAACAGGUGUGCUGUUCAGGAAGGUGAAGCCUGCUAUUACACAGUUCCUCUGGGAGAACACAAUGAGGAAACACCUCACCACACAUUAGCCUGGGCAAGAAGGAGCACUAAGGCCACCUUCUUCUCAGUGUGCACCUUGAGGCUGACCAGGAAAGAAGCGGAACUCAGGUCAUCUGAGCAAAGCUGUGCAGUACUUGAAGAGUCCCUUCAAUACGCUGGAAUUCUCCACUUACUCUAGCCAUUCCACAGAAAGUUACUCCUUGGAGAGCGAAG